UGUUACGUUUGAAGCAGGAAAUACAACAAAGGAAGCUUGGGGUGGGAACCAUAGAGAGGGGAGUGAUAGGCCUACAUCUGUGAAAGGAAGGUACAGUAGAAUUCUAAACACAUGAUUGGAAGAAUACAUUCUACCCACAUUGGUCUGUUCAUCUGAAUCUGUUUUCCAAACUGUGAGCCCUUUGGAGACAGGGAACCAUCAUUUAUUUAUUAUUUAUUUUUCUACGUAAACUGUUUUGGAAACAUUUGUUGAAAAGAGAUUCCUUCUUCAUGCCACAGAGUCCAUUUCCAGAUGAGUAGCCUUGGUUGUAUGAGUGAUCCAAGUGACAAAUCGCACACAAAGCAACCAAUGGGAGAAAUUAUAGCCACAAUGAACAGAACUCCGACUGUGUAAAGAGGCAAGAUUUCAUCCACAAUACAAGAACAUGUACAUUUCAAAAAGAGUCCAAAGGACACUUCUUCAAAAGAAACAGGCCCUACAAAGACUACCAAGAGACUAUCUAUCAUCUAGAGAAGAGAGAACAUGAAAUGUAUAUAAAUCUGAUGCUACUCAAUGCUGAAGUCUUAGCUUUUUGCUUUGGGACUGAUCACAAGGAGUUGUGAGUAGAGUUUAUAGUCCCCACUUUUCUUUGAUUAGGAGGAAGAUGGUAUUUCUAUCAAUCGACUGUAAUAUGUACAUUCCAUGAUGUACAUAUUUUACCAAUGACUUGGUAAAAAUAGAGCCCCAAAGCAGCACAUAUUCACCUCUAUAUGGACUAGCUUCAAAAACUGAUUGUGUCAGAGCAGUUCGUUCUCUCCCUCUCCUUCUCCUUCUCCCUCUCCCUCUCCCCCACCCUCUCUCUCACCCUCCAUGACCAACUAUAUCAUUAAUUAUGCCUGUAGAAGGAAUAAUGCUCGUAAUCUCUUGAACUAUCCCCAGAUUACCACAGGGCACCAAUAUAAUAAGAGCAGCAAGAUCAAGAAAGACACUCUAGUCUGUAAUGUCUAUCAUCCAAGAUGACCAGCCUAGUCCAUGUUGUUAAUUGAGCCAAUGUUGAUAUCUCACAUUACUAAAACGUGUUCAGCACUGCAUACCACUAAUCAACCCAUGUUUACAGUACAGCAUAUCUAUCUAUCUAUCUAUUUCUACCAAUGCACUCAAGGUAGUUCUAAUUUAAAAUAAUGCCUUGCAAUCUAAUAGACACAACAAAAAUAAGCAUUUUCAGGUCAUAGCUCUUAGAAAAGAUAGUAUCAAAUCUUACAAAUGUAUCACCUAGGCAAAAUCCUAGCAAAACCCCCACAUCAUACAGAUGUUGUGAGAAUUGGACUCCAUGUAACAUCUACCUGACUAUCUCAACCAAACCUCUUUCUCUUAGACACAUGGUUUCAAUAGCAGGAUGAGCAUAUCUCCUUUGCCUUUCAGUCACAUCUGGGCAUUUCCCUUAAUCCACCUCACAUGAAACAAAUAAUCUAGAGCUCUUUUUUAAAAAUCAGCCUCUAAAGCUUUUGUUUAUUUAAAGUUCUGUAGAGCUAAUCGGAACUAAUCAUCGCACAGAAUACAAAUAAAUGCUUCUCUUUCCUUAAUAGCAAGCCAGACUCGAGCCAGUUGUUCCGAACCUUAACAUGGCUGGACUAUGAUGGUUUUUCUGUGCUUACAGUAUUUGUUAUUCUACCAUUAAAGGGAUCACGGGAGGGGUGCUUGGUUUUUACAAGGCAAUAAUUGUGAGUGAGCAAGCCAUGAGGCCAGAGACUGAGUCAUUUAUCUCAAUGAGGAGAGAGGAUUAUUCAGGAGAAAAAUGCGGCACUCCUUCCAUAAGGCAAACAAUAACAUUUGUAUUCUCAGUACAAAUAGAGCAUUCCGCCCUGCCAUGGCUAGCCUAGGCUCUUUUUCCUGCCACCUCCAUUUUUUUGAACUGCUCCUCACCAAGCUGUUGUUAAGGACUAUUGCUGGACUCUUGCCAGCAGCCACUCACUUCCCUCCACUCUUCUCCAUGGCUGAUUUAGCAAAACGUUCCAUAGAAUAAAUCUAAACUUUCCUUUCUUCUCCUGUUGUGCCUGUUACUGCCUAAAGCCGAGUUCAGCUGUCAGCUUGAGCCCUGACUAGAUCAGACCACCCAUGUUCCCAGCAAAUGCUUUGAGCUGCACUGGACUGAAACUUGACAGUUGGAUUUGGCGCAAAGGGUGAUAUCAUCAUUAGGCCAAGGGAGGUGUAGGUGGCAUAUUUAAUACUGGAUUAAUGAGGAAAGGGUUUAUAUGUUUUAGGGUGCCACAGUCUGACCAUGCAUUGUAGGUAGUGGCCUUCCAGAACACAGUUGCAAUUAGAGAUGUGCACAAAACCGGCUGGCCCGGUUUGGUUCACGUUUGAACAGGACCAGGCCAGUUCGUUUUUGACCCCCAGCGAACCACCCCCACACAUUUGGUUUGGUUUGAGGGGGGUUUGUGAGUCAAAUGUUUUAGAUUUUUUUAAUAAUACUUACCUUCUCUAGGGGGUGGGGGGGGCUUCUCCAAGGCCAUGGGGGAGGGCCUCAGCGGAGGUUCCCCCUCCCCCACCGGCCUUUUUGUGGCAAAAAUUGCCCGGAUCAGGCCUUC